UGGGAGCUGGGGCGGAUGGGAAUCGUAUUUGCUUCCAACACAAGGAAGGCAAGUUUUUCCUAUUUCCAUGACAAUGGAAGGCAGGUUACUCCUUUAUGGAGUUUGAGCUCGCUUCCAACAGGGAAGAUGAAUUUGAGUUUUUUUCCUGCUUCUAGGAUGGUAGAAUGCAGUCUUCAGUCUGAGACCCAUCCCUAGGUUUCCGACAACUUGGAAGAUUGUGAUAUCAGAUUAGAGGAAAAACUUCUGGACUGAUGGGGAGCUGAAAUGUUCAUGAAUAUCAAGCAGAACAGGAAUUAACUGCACAGACUGAGAGAUGGGGUCUCACUAUGUUGCCCAGGCUGAUCUUGAACUCCUGGCCUCAAGGGAUCUUCCCACCUUGACAGUCCCAAAGUGAUGGUAUUACAGGGUCUUGCUGUGUCACCCAGUCUGGAGUGCAGAUUAUGGCUCACUGCAGCAUUGACUCCCCAGGCUCAAGCAAUCCUCCCACCUCAGCAUCCCAAGUAGCUAGGGCUACAGGUGUGCACUUUUUUGUUAAAAAUGGUAUGACUGGCCUAAUUAAAAAAAAAUUUUUUUUUGUAGAGACACUGUCUCACUAUGUUGCCCAGGCUAGUCUCCAACUCCUAGGCUCAAGCGUUCCUCUCGUGUUGGUCUCCUAAAGUUCUUAGCUUAAUUUUUCAAACCACAUGGGUAGUAUGAGUUUGGCUUUAAACUGAUUUGCCAGCUUCUGGGUACAAACUAUCAGGUGAUUUUUUUUCUUCUCUCCAUCCAGUGUUCUUACUUACUUUCCUCUCUGAGGUAGCGUAUUCUGGUGCAUUCUUUCACUGAGUGUAACGUCUUCUGAGGUUCCAGGUUUUGGAAAAGUGUCUCACUUUGAGUCCAUAUUAAUGUUGGCCACUAGGCUUUCUGUUUUAGAGCUCAGCCCAUUCCAACAUCAUCAAGAACAAAAAGACUGGGAUAACUGUCAGGCAAAAUGUCUCUUUAAUAUUGUUAUUUCUCUGGAUUCAUGCUUUUUUGUUCAAUUCCACACUAAGCCUUUUAUUUUUAAAUUUCCCAAGUCUAUAAAGAAGUUAAAACAACAGCAAAAUACCAUAUUUACCUUAAACUAAGAUUCACCAGCUGUUAUUCUGCUGCAUUUGCACUACCUCACAAAUGCUUUAUACACCCACAACAGUUUUACCUACUGGAAAACAGCAAAAAGAAUACUUCAUCUUUCAUUAUUCCAGCAUGCAUCUCUGAAGAAAAGGGACAUUCUUCUAUUCAGGCACAAACCACUGUCACACCUAAGAAAACUAUUCCAUACCAUGUAAGAAUUCAUAUACAAAUUUUCUGAAAUGUUUCUAAAAUAUGUUUAAUGGCUGGGUUUAAUUCAAAAUGAAAUCAAAGUUCAUGUAGUACAUUUGAUUAUACUGCAUUUCACCGCAUAUUGAUUAUAUUGCAUUGUUUUAUACAGA